UCCGGGAUCCCUGUCGCCGCCUCGCCCUCCCCCAGCUGCACCCCCGAUCCCCGUGCCUCGCUGCUCCCUCCUCCCCCAGACGCGCCCCCAAUCCCGCCGGCGAACCUCGCACCAGACGCGCCGCCAAUCCCAGCGCCGCACCACCCUCCUCAUGUAGCUGCCACUCGAGGUGUUGAAGACCGGGCGGUGAUUCGGCUUGGGGGCGAUUCGGGAGGAAGAAGGGCGGUGAGGACUUGCUAGUGGCAGAUCUGGGCCAAAUACAUCGGCAAGUGUUGGUGCGGCUGUGACAGAUUUAGGCCUCCAGGAUUGAUGAGUAAACAUCCCUUGGUAAAUGGCUUCUCUCACUCUCGGUGGCGGAGACUACCCUCAUCAGCUACUAUGUAUAAAUCUCAUCUCGUCCAUCAACUAGUGUUCUUUAAACUGAUUGAUCUAUUUCCUGAUUGAGCGAUCUAGUUUGAGUUCAAUUUGCUCCCUUGCAGCCCUGCUCGUGCGUGAGGAUGCAGAUGUAUAUAGUAAUCAGGUCUGCAACUUCCGCAUCGCGAUUUAAACCAAGGGAAAGAAAAUCUGCACACCCAAUAUUCUUACAGAUGAAUGAAUGCUAAAGGAUCACGGAAGGCAGGAAGGUGGCAGGGUUCUCGGACAUCCAUGGGGACAUCACUAAUGGCCACUGGCAGACCAUGAGGUGGUAGAUACCAGCAGCCGGCAUCUGGGAGCAUCUCAUCCGGACUCGCGCCCAAUCCGCAAGCAUCAGAAAUGUCGUUCCUGACUCGGUGAGUUGGUCUCACUGCAUGGUGGUGGCAUCAAUCCUGUUGCGAUGCUCAUCUUUUACCAACAAGCUAGUAGCAAUGAGCAAAUGUGCAACGAUGUGUACAGUAGAGAGGAGAAAGUGUGGCAGCCUCUCUUUUCAGUAAAGGGUGGAUCGGAGUGUCGAUUCCAUGGUUGCCAAAUGCUAUGAGCUAGCCUAUGGAACACCAGGUGCUCAUGGAGCUGGCUCCUUGGAAGCUCAGCCUCAGGCAAGUUAGGUGAGCUAGCUCCCAUCUCUUGGUAAUUGGUCACUUUAUUAUUUGUUGAUCGAUUUACACUUUCAGUGGUUUUAUAUUAAACAAGUCUUUUGUCAGUAGGAAAAAUGUAUAGUAACAGGAUUUAUUAUCCUUAUGUGUUGGCUAGUGAAGGAGGGUUUCUUUAGCUAGGACUGUCACUCUAUUCUAGUAAAAAUGUCUUCCAGAGUUCAUUAUUAUGUGCAAUAUGGAGAAAGAAUGUGCAGAAAUGAUGCACUCCUUAGCACUGAUCAUAGCGAUAUGGAGAAAGAAUGUUCAGUCCUUUGCUGCUGUGUAGUAAAUUUCAUUUUUUUUGUUUUAUCCGAGCAAAAUAUUUGACCAACAGUCUCUCUCCUUCCUACCUACGACAAAUCCACCCAUUCAUCUUCAGGAUCAGGAUGCUUUUUAGAACAUCUUUCUCUUUAGUCCCUUUUUAUGUCAGUUUACUAUUUUAUUUCUCCCAAUUUAUUCUGCUUUAAUGGGAUUAAAUUUCAGAUGGCAUAAUGAUGAAAAUAUCCCUUCAUGUUUGUUGUCAAGGUCCUCUCAAUUUAUCAUUCUGCUAAUAUAAAUCAAUAAUUCCAUGUCCAGAUCUAUGCUACAUCAUACUGGUCAAGGUGACAUCAUAUUUUUCAUGUACUCAUUAUGUUCAUUUGUUAACCAAUAUAAUGGAAGUUGGUAUCUGAAAUUUAUAACAAAGAGAUAUGUGCUUGGUAGCAUGUGAUUAAAAUUUACCCCAGAUACGAACAUUUCACUGUUCUCAUUAUAGGAUGCCAUCAUGUACAACUAUCUGGGGAUCGCCUCUCCCACCAUACUGAUUUUUUCAUGAUAUGAUGGCCUGAAAGUGGGAAGAAUAUUUGAUUCAUAAUUCAUCUGAUAGAAUGUUUCAUUUUUCUAUUGUUGUUCUCAACUAAUAAACUAGUACUAAUGAUAGCUAUAUGUUCUUGCAGAAUGAUGUGGAAGCUUGACUAGUUUUUUUUUCCGGCAAGACAUGAUAGAAUUUGCAAUCAAAGGCUGCAAAUAAUUGAUUUUGCAUAUAGAUGUAUUUCUGAAAAGGGUGCAACUCUAUGCUAGAUUGCUCAUAAUCGAAGUUUUUGUCGGUCACUAGAUAUACAAGAGCUUUGGGAUGCGCUCGGAGGUGGCCUAUGGAGCUGGCGUUAGAAUUUUAUUUUAGUUUCAGAGUGUAAACAUUUGAAGUUUUGGUGUGAAAUUUCUCAAUAAUGGGAGCAUUUGGUAGUUUGGAGCGAAAUUCAUAGUAUUUAGGUUCAUGGUUAGAAAUAUUUGCAAACCUAAUUAUUGAAUGCUUUAUGUAGAGAAAUUUGCAAAUUCUGCAGUUUUGUCAUGCAGUAUUGGCAAACAAAAAACAAUGCAUGUUCUAUGGACCAAAAUUUGCACAUUUUA